CUUGUCUGUGUCGUCUGAUGUCAGAAUCUGCUUUGCAGUGAUGCAUGGUCUCCAGCUAUUUAGCAAGGCAUUUUCUGUGGUGUUUUGAAGGAGUUUUGUCCAUAUGGUUCAAAAGGAGGAUUUCACCAUGCAAGCAGAUGUUAAAUAACAGAGAAGCAAGCAGCAGGCAAGUGCUAUAUUUGAAAAAGCAGGAUGGUCCUGGGAAGAGAGGUGAUCUGUUCAAGCACAAACAUCUACAGCAUCCUAUUAACAGAAGCCAAUAUUCCAACUGGCAAGAGAACAGCACCUGUGGCAUUAUCUCUUCAUUUAUCUUCAAUAUGCUUUCAGACAAACAAAUAAAAGAACAUGGUGUGCCUUGACACACAA